CUCGUAGGCGGUUCGUCGCGUCCGGUGUGAAAGUCCAUCGCUUAACGGUGGAUCCGCGCCGGGUACGGGCGGGCUUGAGUGCGGUAGGGGAGACUGGAAUUCCCGGUGUAACGGUGGAAUGUGUAGAUAUCGGGAAGAACACCAAUGGCGAAGGCAGGUCUCUGGGCCGUUACUGACGCUGAGGAGCGAAAGCGUGGGUAGCGAACA
rnacentral:rRNA from 1 species